GAUGAACGCUGGCGGCGUGCCUAAUACAUGCAAGUCGAGCGAACAGACGAGGAGCUUGCACCUCUGACGUUAGCGGCGGACGGGUGAGUAACACGUGGAUAACCUACCUAUAAGACUGGGAUAACUUCGGGAAACCGGAGCUAAUACCGGAUAAUAUAUUGAACCGCAUGGUUCAAUAGUGAAAGACGGUUUUGCUGUCACUUAUAGAUGGAUCCGCGCCGCAUUAGCUAGUUGGUAAGGUAACGGCUUACCAAGGCAACGAUGCGUAGCCGACCUGAGAGGGUGAUCGGCCACACUGGAACUGAGACACGGUCCAGACUCCUACGGGAGGCAGCAGUAGGGAAUCUUCCGCAAAGGGCGAAAGCCUGACGGAGCAACGCCGCGUGAGUGAUGAAGGUCUUCGGAUCGUAAAACUCUGUUAUUAGGGAAGAACAAAUGUGUAAGUAACUAUGCACGUCUUGACGGUACCUAAUCAGAAAGCCACGGCUAACUACGUG
rnacentral:rRNA from 1 species